AGCGAACGCUGGCGGCAGGCCUAAUACAUGCAAGUCGAGCGGCCCUUCGGGGCAGCGGCGGACGGGUGAGUAACGCGUGGGAAUGUGCCCUUUGGUACGGAACAACACAGGGAAACUUGUGCUAAUACCGUAUGUGCCCUUCGGGGGAAAGAUUUAUCGCCAUUGGAGCAGCCCGCGUUGGAUUAGUUAGUUGGUGAGGUAAAGGCUCACCAAGCCUACGAUCCAUAGCUGGUCUGAGAGGAUGAUCAGCCACACUGGGACUGAGACACGGCCCAGACUCCUACGGGAGGCAGCAGUAGGGAAUCUUGCGCAAUGGGCGAAAGCCUGACGCAGCCAUGCCGCGUGAAUGAUGAAGGUCUUAGGAUUGUAAAAUUCUUUCACCGGGGAAGAUAAUGACGGUACCCGGAGAAGAAGCCCCGGCUAACUUCGUGCCAGCCGCCGCGGUAAGAC
rnacentral:rRNA from 1 species